CAACAAAUCAGAAAAAGUUAGGUACUCUAAAACUCCCCAUACAUAAUUUUCUCUUUCAAACUACGACAAAAACAUAAAAAAAGGCAGAAAACAAUAAUGGAGAAAAACUAAGUCCUAGAUACAAUAAAUACAACGUCCACAUUCCGAGAAGAACUGUCAAACCAGGUAGCGUUGACUGAAAUGAGAAAAAAAAAAAAAAAAAACAGAAUCGAAAAGGUUGGUUAGCCAAUGAAAUGUACUCUGAACAAAACAUGUAGGCAUCCAGUGUAACAACCAGAAAUACCAUAAUAUACAGAGAUCCCAACCCUUACUUAGGAAACGGACACAAGAACAAGUGACAGGUAGCAGAGACAACAAGCAGAGUUGCAUACGUACCUGAUUAACCCAAACUAUUAAAGCUACAUACAUAGUUACAUAGCUGAAGAGAGACUUGCAUUCAUCAAGUUUCCCUUGCCUUAGACAAAAUCUUCUUUCUUCCAGUCUAAACGCAUGACCUUGUGUCCUAUGUACGGUUUGUGAAUAGAUUUCCACACAAUGGUUUGUAUUGGCCCCGAAUAUAUUUGUAUAAUGUUAUCAUAUCCCCUCUCAGGCGACGUUUUUCUAAACUAAAUAGGUUUAAAUUUGUUAUGUUCCAUUCUUUUUAUUCAUUUUGUAGCCUGCCUCUGCACUUUCUCUAAUGCCAUAAUAUACUUCUUUAGAACAGGUGCCCAAAAUUGCACAGCAUAUUCAAUAUGUGGUUUUACCAGUGAUUUAUAAAGAGGCAAAAUGAUAUUCUCGUCCCGAGAAUGAAUGCUCUUUUUCAUACAUGACAAUACCUUACUGGCCUUGGCCACUGCUGAUUAACAUUGCACAUUGUUGCAUAGUUUGUUGUCUAUAACAAUUCCCAAGUCCUUUUCGUGUGUUGUUAUCCCUAAUUCGCUUCCAUUAAGGGUAUACGUUGCUUGUGUAUUCUUUACGCCGAAGUGCAUAACUGCAUUUUUCAACAUUAUAUUUCAUCUGCCAUUUGAGUGCCCAGUCCCCCAGUCUAUCUAAAUCCCUCUGCAGCAAAGUAAUAUCUUGC